CCUACGGGAGGCUGCAGUAAGGAAUAUUGGUCAAUGGACGAAAGUCUGAACCAGCCAUCCCGCGUGCAGGAUGAAAGCCCUAUGGGUUGUAAACUGCUUUUAGCAGAGAAGAAAAGCUUUCAUUAAUGAGAGUCUGACGGUAUCUGCAGAAUAAGCACCGGCUAACUCCGUGCCAGCAGCCGCGGUAAUACGGAGGGUGCCAGAGUUAUCGGGAAUAACGGGGGCGAAAGGGUGCGUAGACGGAGUUUGUGAAAUCUUGUCGCUUAACGAUACAAUUGCCAAUGAUACUGGUACUCUUGAAUUGGGUUGAGGUUAGCGGAAUGUGACAUGUAGCGGUGAAAUGCAUAGAUAUGUCAUGGAACACCAAUUGCGAAGGCAGCUAACUGGGCCUUGAUUGACGCUGAGGCACGAAAGCGUGGGUAGCGAACAGGAUUAGAUACCCCUGUAGUC
rnacentral:rRNA from 1 species